rnacentral:rRNA from 1 species
GGGUUGUGAGGUUAAGCGAACAAGCGUACACGGUGGAUGCCCUGGCAGUCAGAGGCGAUGAAGGACGUGCUAAUCUGCGAAAAGCGCCGGUAAGGUGAUAUGAACCGUUAUAACCGGCGAUGUCCGAAUGGGGAAACCCGGUGCACUUCGGUGCAUCAUCGUUAGCUGAAUACAUAGGCUAACGAGGCGAACCGGGGGAACUGAAACAUCUAAGUACCCCGAGGAAAAGAAAUCAACCGAGAUUCCCCCAGUAGCGGCGAGCGAACGGGGAACAGCCCAGAGCCUGAAUCAGCUUGUGUGUCAGUGGAACGGUCUGGAAAGGCCGGCGAUACAGGGUGACAGCCCCGUACACGAAGGCACACAGGCUGUGAGCUCGAUGAGUAGGGCGGGACACGUGAUAUCCUGUCUGAAGAUGGGGGGACCAUCCUCCAAGGCUAAAUACUCCUGACUGACCGAUAGUGAACCAGUACCGUGAGGGAAAGGCGAAAAGAACCCCGGCGAGGGGAGUGAAACAGAACCUGAAACCGUGUACGUACAAGCAGUGGGAGCCUUCGUAAGAGGGUGACUGCGUACCUUUUGUAUAAUGGGUCAGCGACUUAUAUUCUGUAGCAAGGUUAACCGUAUAGGGGAGCCGAAGGGAAACCGAGUCUUAACCGGGCGUUAAGUUGCAGGGUAUAGACCCGAAACCCGGUGAUCUAGCCAUGGGCAGGUUGAAGGUUGGGUAACACUAACUGGAGGACCGAACCGACUAAUGUUGAAAAAUUAGCGGAUGACCUGUGGCUGGGGGUGAAAGGCCAAUCAAACCGGGAGAUAGCUGGUUCUCCCCGAAAGCUAUUUAGGUAGCGCCUCGUGAACUCAUCUCCGGGGGUAGAGCACUGUUUCGGCUAGGGGGCCAUCCCGGCUUACCAACCCGAUGCAAACUGCGAAUACCGGAGAAUGUUAUCACGGGAGACACACGGCGGGUGCUAACGUCCGUCGUGAAGAGGGAAACAACCCAGACCGCCAGCUAAGGUCCCAAAGUCAUGGUUAAGUGGGAAACGAUGUGGGAAGGCCCAGACAGCCAGGAUGUUGGCUUAGAAGCAGCCAUCAUUUAAAGAAAGCGUAAUAGCUCACUGGUCGAGUCGGCCUGCGCGGAAGAUGUAACGGGGCUAAACCAUGCACCGAAGCUGCGGCAGCGACGCUUAUGCGUUGUUGGGUAGGGGAGCGUUCUGUAAGCCUGCGAAGGUGUGCUGUGAGGCAUGCUGGAGGUAUCAGAAGUGCGAAUGCUGACAUAAGUAACGAUAAAGCGGGUGAAAAGCCCGCUCGCCGGAAGACCAAGGGUUCCUGUCCAACGUUAAUCGGGGCAGGGUGAGUCGACCCCUAAGGCGAGGCCGAAAGGCGUAGUCGAUGGGAAACAGGUUAAUAUUCCUGUACUUGGUGUUACUGCGAAGGGGGGACGGAGAAGGCUAUGUCGGCCGGGCGACGGUUGUCCCGGUUUAAGCGUGUAGGCUGACUUUCCAGGCAAAUCCGGAAAGUUAAGGCUGAGGCGUGAUGACGAGGCACCACGGUGCUGAAGUGACAAAUGCCCUGCUUCCAGGAAAAGCCUCUAAGCAUCAGGUAACAUCAAAUCGUACCCCAAACCGACACAGGUGGUCAGGUAGAGAAUACCAAGGCGCUUGAGAGAACUCGGGUGAAGGAACUAGGCAAAAUGGUGCCGUAACUUCGGGAGAAGGCACGCUGACAUGUAGGUGAAGCCCCUGCGGGUGGAGCUGAAGUCAGUCGAAGAUACCAGCUGGCUGCAACUGUUUAUUAAAAACACAGCACUGUGCAAACACGAAAGUGGACGUAUACGGUGUGACGCCUGCCCGGUGCCGGAAGGUUAAUUGAUGGGGUUAUCGCAAGAGAAGCUCCUGAUCGAAGCCCCGGUAAACGGCGGCCGUAACUAUAACGGUCCUAAGGUAGCGAAAUUCCUUGUCGGGUAAGUUCCGACCUGCACGAAUGGCGUAAUGAUGGCCAGGCUGUCUCCACCCGAGACUCAGUGAAAUUGAACUCGCUGUGAAGAUGCAGUGUACCCGCGGCAAGACGGAAAGACCCCGUGAACCUUUACUACAGCUUGACACUGAACAUUGAGCCUUGAUGUGUAGGAUAGGUGGGAGGCUUUGAAGCGUGGACGCCAGUCUGCGUGGAGCCGACCUUGAAAUACCACCCUUUAAUGUUUGAUGUUCUAACCUGGCGCCGUGAUCCGGCGUGGGGACAGUGUCUGGUGGGUAGUUUGACUGGGGCGGUCUCCUCCCAAAGUGUAACGGAGGAGCACGAAGGUCAGCUAAUCCUGGUCGGACAUCAGGAGGUUAGUGCAAUGGCAUAAGCUGGCUUGACUGCGAGAGUGACGGCUCGAGCAGGUGCGAAAGCAGGUCAUAGUGAUCCGGUGGUUCUGUAUGGAAGGGCCAUCGCUCAACGGAUAAAAGGUACUCCGGGGAUAACAGGCUGAUACCGCCCAAGAGUUCAUAUCGACGGCGGUGUUUGGCACCUCGAUGUCGGCUCAUCACAUCCUGGGGCUGAAGUAGGUCCCAAGGGUAUGGCUGUUCGCCAUUUAAAGUGGUACGCGAGCUGGGUUUAGAACGUCGUGAGACAGUUCGGUCCCUAUCUGCCGUGGGCGCUGGAGAAUUGAGGGGGGCUGCUCCCAGUACGAGAGGACCGGAGUGGACGCAUCACUGGUGUUCGGGUUGUCAUGCCAAUGGCACUGCCCGGUAGCUAAAUGCGGAAGAGAUAAGUGCUGAAAGCAUCUAAGCACGAAACUUGCCCCGAGAUGAGUUCUCCCUGAGACUAUAAGUCUCCUGAAGGAACGUUGAAGACGACGACGUUGAUAGGCCGGGUGUGUAAGCGCAGCGAUGCGUUGAGCUAACCGGUACUAAUGAACCGUGAGGCUUAACCUUACAACGCCAAA